ensembl:lncRNA
GUUCAAUAUGUGAAAAAAUACACUCUUCGAUCUCCUGGAACAUUCUGUCUCAGAGAGGACCAUGUCUACACGUCAAAGGAAAGACCAGAUCCUGGUGCUUUCCCACAAGAAGUUGCUCAAUGUGGCUACCAGGCAGGCCAAACAAAAGCCUCUGUCUGCAGACAGGAGGGCACCAACAAUGUGUCAAGCAACCUCAUCUGCAUCGUCACAAGCAUCUGCAGUGUGGAUAUCUGGUCAACAUGGUCUUUUGACAGUUGUGGAGCCCCUCUCACCAAUAAAGCUUUUGUAGGUGAAGAACCUGAAGGAUCUGAGGCUGUGCCAGUACAUGCUGGAGAAAUACUUGACUGGACUCGGGAGUAGGAGCCUAGACAUUGGCCCACAGAAGUGCUGUUCUCCUUCUUUGGAUACCCGUCACAACAACACAAUCUUCUCUGUCUACUGGAGUUGUCUUGGUCAUGCCUAUUCUAGUGUGCUGCACUCAGUGAAGAAGUUGGAGGAAGUGUCAAAAGAGUGAAGGCCAAGCUCUGACUGUGACAGAGAGUUUGAGAUGGACAAAUGAUGCCUUGAAAAACACGUGAC